CCUACGGGAGGCAGCAGUGGGGAAUUUUGGACAAUGGGCGAAAGCCUGAUCCAGCAAUGCCGCGUGAGUGAAGAAGGCCUUCGGGUUGUAAAGCUCUUUUGUCAGGGAAGAAACGGUGAGGGCUAAUAUCCCUUGCUAAUGACGGUACCUGAAGAAUAAGCACCGGCUAACUACGUGCCAGCAGCCGCGGUAAUACGUAGGGUGCAAGCGUUAAUCGGAAUUACUGGGCGUAAAGCGUGCGCAGGCGGUUUUGUAAGUCUGUCGUGAAAUCCCCGGGCUCAACCUGGGAAUUGCGAUGGAGACUGCAAGGCUAGAAUCUGGCAGAGGGGGGUAGAAUUCCACGUGUAGCAGUGAAAUGCGUAGAGAUGUGGAGGAACACCGAUGGCGAAGGCAGCCCCCUGGGUCAAGAUUGACGCUCAUGCACGAAAGCGUGGGGAGCAAACAGGAUUAGAUACCCUGGUAGUCCACGCCCUAAACGAUGUCUACUAGUUGUCGGGUUUUAAUUAACUUGGUAACGCAGCUAACGCGUGAAGUAGACCGCCUGGGGAUACGGUCGCAAGAUUAAAACNCAAAUGAAUUGACGG
rnacentral:rRNA from 1 species